GGCAAGACAAUUGGUGUCUUUAAAUUCUGUCAGGGCCUUGUGGACAUAUUUUUCAGCCAGGGGUGUAGUGUUAAAUUUGGAUCGACUGACCACCCACUUUUAUUCAUGCUCAUGAUAAAGUCUGAAUCAAAUGGAUCACGUUGCGUGUUUUAUAUGCGCUGUGUCCCAAGUCUUGAGUGACCCAUGAAGAGAUGAGUUCUUCUUUAGUGCGCUCAUGGCCAUCUCGGAUCCUUAUUCCUUACUCAAGGAAAGCAUUGAUUUUGAAUGCUGGGCUCAAGGUUUUGAUGCUUUUCUGUCUAUUGAUAAAAUGGAAGGAAUCAUUUCACAUGCAACUGUUUAAAUUGGUUGUGUCAUGCAAGGGUUUUGAGAACUGUCUGGACUAAAGAAAUAGUUUGAUUGCCUUGUCAGCAAGAGAGGUGCCUGCAGCCUAGGCGGCAACCAUGCUAUCUUGCACAGACACAAAAAGCCUUUUGGAAGGUUGUGUCUUUGUUGAAGAUGAUGUUUAGCAUUUUAGCAUUCAAGACUCUUCAGACACGGAUUGCGAGAACGCCUGGCCUGAGAAAUUGACACCCGAGUGAAUGGAGGCGAAUGCACCUGCUUAAGUUGAGGAAGGCAGAUCACCAAAGGCGGCAGGAGUCCUUUGGUGAGGAUGGGAGGUCGGGAGAAGCUAAGAAGAAGGAGAGAAGAGACUCUACAGUGGGAGAACCACUUUGGGAAGAGCAGGAUCAGCCCCUUUAUCAUUUCGGUUUGCCUCUUCUGCUGCACCUUCUUCAGUUCGACAGUAUCGCUUUUUUGGUAAUCUGGCGACCGGAACGAUACACUUUACUUCUGAGGAACAGCUACAACUGGAAACAAGGUCAGCUUCAUGUUGUUGUUGUUGUUGUUGUUGUUGUUGUUGUUAUAGCCCAGUAAGCUUCCAGACCACCUUGGGUUUAUUCUCUCUUUUUGACAGUUAAAGCACCACGUUUUCAUUGAUGCCAGGAGAUGUUGAACAGUAGGGCACACAUCCUGGGGUGCCUCUGUUAUGGCACAAGAGAUAUUCCCAGACUGAUUGGGCAAGGUUCGGACCACAAUGCGUGUCUGGACAUUUAAAUUUGCAUUCUGAUUGGGCAAGACCUCUAGGGUUUUUAAAUUCUGUCUUGAUCGAAUUGGGCAAGAUCUCUAGGAUUUUUAAAUUGUAUAUGGAAUUGGGCAAGAUCAAGGCCUGUGUGGGCCUCGAUUUUUAAAUUGCAUCCCCCAGCUUGACCUUUACAAUUGUAUUCUGAUUGGGCAAGACCUCUAGGGUUUUUAAAUUCUGUAUGGAAUUGGGCAAGAUCAGGGCCUGUGUGGGCCUCGAUUUUUAAAUUGCAUCCCCCAGCUUGACCUUUACAAUUGUAUUCUGAUUGGGCAAGACCUCUAGGGUUUUUAAAUUCUGUAUGGAAUUGGGCAAGAUCAGGGCCUGUGUGGGCCUCGAUUUUUAAAUUGCAUCCCCCAGCUUGACUGAGCACACAAUCUCUAGGUUCCCUUAGAGUGAAUUGGGCAUGAUACCCUUUUUUUAAAAUUCCAUGUUUGGGCAGCUUUAAGC